UACGUAGGGUGCGAGCGUUAAUCGGAAUGACUGGGCGUAAAGGGUGCGCAGGCGGUUUGUUAAGAUGGAUGUGAAAGCCCCAAGCUCAACUUGGGAAUAGCAUACAUGACUGGCAAGCUAGAAUAUGGUAGAGGGAGGUGGAAUUCCAGGUGUAGCGGUGAAAUGCGUAGAUAUCUGGAGGAACACCGGUGGCGAAGGCGGCAUCCUGGACCGGUAUUGACGCUGAGGCGCGAAAGCCAGGGGAGCAAAGCGGG
rnacentral:rRNA from 1 species